rnacentral:rRNA from 1 species
UGGGGAAUCUUGGACAAUGGGCGCAAGCCUGAUCCAGCCAUGCCGCGUGAGUGAUGAAGGCCUUAGGGUUGUAAAGCUCUUUCACCGGUGACGAUAAUGACGGUAGCCGGAGAAGAAGCCCCGGCUAACUUCGUGCCAGCAGCCGCGGUAAUACGAAGGGGGCUAGCGUUGUUCGGAAUUACUGGGCGUAAAGCGCGCGUAGGCGGAUGAUUAAGUUAGAGGUGAAAGCCCGGGGCUCAACUCCGGAAUUGCCUUUGAUACUGGUCAUCUUGAGACCGGGAGAGGAGAGUGGAAUUCCCAGUGUAGAGGUGAAAUUCGUAGAUAUUGGGAAGAACACCCGUGGCGAAGGCGGCUCUCUGGCCCGGUUCUGACGCUGAGGUGCGAAAGCGUGGGGAGCAAACAGGAUUAGAUACCCCCGUAGUCC